GUGCUUGUUUUGGCAGCACAUAUGCUAAAACUGGAAUGAUAAGAGAAGAUUAGCGUGGCCCCUGCACAAGAAUUAUACUAUUAGUAUUUGUUUGACACUGCUUUCUU